GGGCCGUUAGCUCAGUUGGUUAGAGCAGUCGACUCAUAAUCGAUAGGUCGCUGGUUCGAGUCCAGCACGGCCCA
rnacentral:tRNA from 1 species